GACAGAGGUGCCAAGCGUUAGGCGGAAUCACUGGGCUUAAAGCGUGUGUAGGCGGAUCGUUAAGUACCUUGUGAAAUCCCACGGCUCAACCGUGGAACUGCUGGGUAUACUGGCGAUCUUGAGCCACCUAGGGGCGAGCGGAACAAGCGGUGGAGCGGUGAAAUGCGUAGAUAUCAUGAGGAAUACCAGAGGCGAAGGCGGCUACCUGGACAAUUGCUGACGCUCAGGCACGAAAGCGUGGGGAGCAAAAGGG
rnacentral:rRNA from 1 species